rnacentral:ncRNA from 1 species
AUCGAUCCGAUGAGGGAGCCUAGUAGCACCCAGUCUGGGUUUCAGAGAGCCGGUGGAUGGUGAGAACCGGUACCCUGCGGUUGUGAACUCUCUUCCGAGGUUUCGGCGGGAAAUGACGGCAUCUGCACGACGCAAAAGCCAUCUGUACUGUCGAACGCUGCCAGCGUUAACGGUGUGAGCGGGACUGACCCUGAUUUCGGGUUCAGUUCAACAUAGGUGGUACCGCGGGAGUCGCCUCUCGUCCUAUUU